ensembl:lncRNA LINC02622 long intergenic non-protein coding RNA 2622
ACGGAGCCCGGGCGACGGAGGGGCUGCAGGAACGGAGCCCGGGCGACGGAGGGGCUGCAGGAAUGGAGCCUGGGUGACGGAGAGGCUGCAGGAACGGAGCCUGGGUGACGGAGAGGCUGCAGGAACGGAGCCUGGGUGACGGAGAGGCUGCAGGCAUUCUUUGGCCCCUUCCAUUGUUGAGGAAGACCCAGGCCCAGCCUCCCUUGCUCUUAGGUUGGUCACAUGACUCACUCCAGCAAAUGGGAUGUGAGCAGAAGGUAUAUAUGUUACCUGGAAUGAGGUGAAUAAUUACCUGGUGUGCUUUUCUACAAUCCUUGUUGCCUGAGUGAUGCCAAGAUCAUUUUGAAGCUGCAAGAUGGUGGAGCCACAAGAUGAAAGGAACCUGUAUCUCUGAGUCACCACACAGAAGAGAGACAUCUAGGAAAGCUGCUUGACAUGGGUCAUAUGAGUAAGAAAUCAACCUCACUGCGCAAAGCCACUGAGAAAUCAACCUUCCUGCACAAAGCCACCGAGAUGUUGGGGCUACUUAUUAGAGUGGCUAGUGGGAAUUACUCUGACUAAUAUAAAGGGGUUAAACUUGAUGGGAUGCAAAUAGGAAAUGGCUUCAUUUUUUCCAAUCACUGCUUUAAACAUGCUCCUAUUAAGCCUCCUUGCCCUGUCUCUUGACAACAUCUUGGACAGAUUCUAAGUUUUCGGUUACUGUUGGUUGUAAGAAGAGUCUCAUCUUAGUAAUUAGGACUCGCUUUCAGGGCCAGUCCAGCCUCAGAGAUUUAUGCUCACAUCCAGUUGAAAACUUCUUCCUUUCCUUCAGCUCAGGGCUGACCCAUGGCUUGGAGAUAAGAUUGGUCUGUUCUUUUGCUUCACUUCUGCUUUCUUGCCCUUCUGCUGCUGCUGGCUCCUUGAGAGUCAGAGCAAGGAGAUAGAGGAAUAGUAGAAAAAGGGGCUAAAAGUCUUAGGUCCCCGUCACUGUUGUAACCCACUGCUGAUGUCCUGGGUGUCAGGUUCUCCGAGGCUGGUGUUUGGGAUGGUGUUUUUGUUGGUCCUUUUGAGACAUUACAUGGACCACCUUCUGCCCCCUUCUCUGAUGGUGGCUGUGCAGAAUGCAGCUCGGGAUGGCCUCCUGUUAUACUCUCCUCUCCUGCCCUCACCCAGUUUCCACCACCAGGGGUAUGUCCAGGCCCAUGGGGAACACAUGCAUGCUUCCUACCAUAUGACAGCAGGCUGGCCCUCGGUUCUCACACUCCAGUGUGGCCUGCGCCAAGGCAGGCACCUGAAAGACCUGGGAGGUAACAAGUCCAAAAAUGAGUGGAACCAUCUGUCCCUUCUUAGGGGCCCUAUGGAGGGAGGAAAGAAGCCUGAAAAAUAAAUGGGGCUUGGAAUUCUGUUGGCUACAGAUUUGUAACAUCGAAGUUGAGGGGAUUAUUUUGUGUCACAAAAGGAUUCUUCUAGGAGUUACUAACUUGGAGUUUGGCUAAGUGGAGGGGUAAGGGUGAGACAGAUUAUAUCGCUGGUCUGUGCUUUUUGUAGGUCAUGGGUUCUUUGGGGAAUAUGAUGAAAGUUCCCUAGAAAAAUGCAUGUAUUCAUGUACGGAUAGUAUUUAUUAUGAAAUUUUAGGGCAUCCUGAAUCCCACUGUGUCUGCCAGAGGGGUCCAUGAAAUCCCAGUUAGUUAUCUCCAAACAAAAGUGCUGCUCCCCUGAAGUCUGAUUCCUUCAGUGUGGACCCAUCUGGGGACCCUGGCACCCACCCCCUGCCCCCUUCUCAGACUCUCUCUGCAGCAUCACAGUGAACUUACUCUUCUCCAACACACAUGACAAUUCCUGCCUUCAUGUCCUAGCCUGUGCUGUGCCUCCUGCUGGGGCAUUCUUUCCUCCAUGCCACCCAGGUCUCACUGUUGUGCAGAGCUCAGGCUACGCACCAUCUUCUCUAGGAAGCCAUUGGUGGUAGGCACAAUUCUAAAGACAUUGCCCCAAGACUCCUGUCCCUAGCUGUUCAGUUGAAUAUGAAUCUAGGUAGGCUGUGAAGAAGGGAUUUUGCAGAAGAAAUUAAUGCUACUAAUCAGCUGACCUUCAAGUAGGGAGAUUAACCUGGAUUAUCUGAGUGGCCCAAAUAUAAUCACAUGAGCCCUUAAAAGCAGCAGAGGAGGGCAGCAGAGUCAAUCAGAGAGAUGUGGUGGAAGGGGAGGGCAGAGAGAUGAGGCAGAAGAGAAGGUCAGAGCAGAGCAAGUCACAGUGCAAGGAGGACUUGACACUGCAUUGCUGGCUUUGAAGAUGUGGGAAGAGGCCAGGAACUGAGGAUGUGGACAGCCUUCAAAAGCUCAGAAUCAUGGCAAAAAAAUGGGGACCUUGAUCCUGCAAUGGCAAGGAACUGAAUUCUGCCCACAACAUGAAUGAGCCUACAAGCAGAUUCCUCCCCAGAGCCCUGAGAAAGGAACACAGCCCUGAUGACACCUUGAUUUCGGCUUUGUGAAUCCCAGAGCAGAGAACCAGCUGAGCUGUGCCGUGCCCAGAUUUCCAACCUACAGAACUGCGAGGUGAUAAAUAGGUAUGGUUUAAGCUGCUGAAUGUGUGAUAAUUUGUUACAGCAGCGAUAGAAACUAGCACAUCAUUGGCAGUGCAUUAAAUAGGGCCACAAAGUCUUUGACAUACUGAGAGGUGGAGGUGCUUCCCCAGCCCUUUAAUCUCAGCUGGUCCGUGACUGCUUUGACCAAGGUGGCCAGCAGAAGUGAACAUAUACCAGUUCCAGGUCCAAUCUUUAAAAACACUGAGGCCAGGCACAGUGGCUCAUGCCUGUAAUCCCAGCACUUUGGGAGGCCAAGGCAGGUGGAUCACCUGAGGUCAGGAGUUCAAGACCAACCUGGCCAACAUGGUGAAACCCCAUCUCUACUGAAAAUACAAAAAUUAGCCAGGUGUGAUGGCGGGCGCCUGUAAUCCCAGCUACUCGGGAGGCUGAGGCAGGAGAAUCGCUUGAACCUGGGAGGCAGAGUUUGCAGUGAGCCGAGAUCGUGCCACUGCACUCCAGCCUAGGUGACAGAGGAAGACUCCAUCUCCAAACAAACAAACAAACAAACAAAUAAAAAUACUGGCUGCUCCCACAUUGGUUUCUUGGAGCUGGGACCUGCCAUUUAAGAACUUUGGCUAUGCCGAGACAUCAUGCAGAAAAGAAGCCCAAGCUAGCCAUGUGGAAAGGCCAUGUGGUGAGAGAUGCCUGGUCAGUUUCAGCUCCCAGCCAUUAGUCAUCCCAGCUGAGGCCACGGACAUCAUGGAGCAAAGACAAGCCAUCCCCACUGUUCUCUGUCUGAAUCACUGACCCACAGUACAGAAAGAUACAAUA